rnacentral:rRNA from 1 species
UACGGGGGGAGCAAGCGUUGUUCGGAUUUACUGGGCGUAAAGGGCGCGUAGGCGGCCACCGCAAGUCGACUGUGAAAUCUCCGGGCUUAACCCGGAAAGGUCAGCCGAUACUGCGGGGCUAGAGUGCAGAAGGGGCAACUGGAAUCUCGGUGUAGCGGUGAAAUGCGUAGAUAUCGAGAGGAACACCUGCGGCGAAGGCGGGUUGCUGGGCUGACACUGACGCUGAGGCGCGAAAGCUAGGGGAGCGAACGGG